ACUAAUAUGUCGGUCGUUACUUUGUACGUACUAGCUAUUAUUGGUUUCUCCCUUCUGACGAACCACGAUGUCAUUAAUUUGGUGUCGCGGGAAAUCAGGACUGUUACUUUGAAAAAAUUAGAGUGUUUAAAGCAAGCCCGCGCUUGAAUACAUUAGCAUGGAAUAAUGAAAUAGGACGUUUGAUUCUAUUUUGUUGGUUUCUAGGAUCGACGUAAUGAUUAAUAGGGAUAGUUGGGGGCAUUAGUAUUCAAUUGUCAGAGGUGAAAUUCUUGGAUUUAUUGAAGACUAACUACUGCGAAAGCAUUUGCCAAGGAUGUUUUCAUUAAUCAAGAACGAAAGUUAGGGGAUCGAAGACGAUCAGAUACCGUCGUAGUCUUAACCAUAAACUAUGCCGACUAGGGAUCGGAUGAUGUUAAUUUUUAAUGACUCAUUCGGCGCCUUACG
rnacentral:rRNA from 1 species